GUGUCAGCCGCCGCGGUAAAACGUAGGAGACAAACGUUAUCCGGAGUUACUGGGCGUAAAGGGCGUGCAGGCGGUCUGUUAAGUUCGGCGUGAAAGCUCCCGGCUAAACCGGGAUAGGUCGUCGGAUACUGGCAGACUAGAGGACAGUAGAGGCGGGUGGAAUUCCGGGUGUAGUGGUGAAAUGCGUAGAGAUCCGGAGGAACACCAGUGGCGAAGGCGACCCGCUGGGCUGUACCUGACGCUAAGACGCGACAGCAUGGGGAGCGAACGGGAUUAGAUACCCGCGUAGUCC
rnacentral:rRNA from 1 species